UAGGUGCUCAGUAUUAUUAAAACUGCAGCCGAUAAGUGUCCACUGUUUCUUUGCAAAGGAGGAUAGGAAAAGAAACAGAACAGGUGGAGGCCACACAAUGUUUCUCCCAUCUGAGAAGCUACUGUGACAGCAGGGACCCCUUCUGAACCAAAAAUGCCCUCCCUUGUCCUUAACAUGGCUGCAACCAUAUCUACUCAGAAGCAAAACAUCAAAUAAAUUUUGAGGAAAUGACAAAUGAAUUUCAAUACCGUUAAUGAUGUUUCUCAAGAGGGGAAGGACUCUUGAAUCCCCUGGUUGACGGUAGAUAUUGCCUAAAGUGAGAUGAAGUGAGUUUGGGAGCUCUUCCUCAGGCAAAAUAUCUGAGGAAUAUCAGUGGAAGUCAAAAGGGUUUCGAGAAGGCCAACUUUGUCAUUGGAGUUUUGCACAUCCUUGUUUGAAAGGCUCCAGAAAAUAGGAGCCAAGGGUUUCAUACAACCUUGUGGCAGUGUGCCAGAGAAGAUAUCCUUGCCGAAUCUUUCCUGGACUACAGCGCCGCCACCAAUGAUGGCUGAAGGGUGGCAUUGCAGCUGCUAGCACCACAGGAAUCAGAUGACACCAUGAUCCAAAGAGGGCAAUAGCUAAUUGGCAGAGUGCAUGUAGGGGUGGAGGAAAUUUCGUUUCAGCCCAAGUGCCGCAUUCCCUUCUAGGCGACCUUCCUAGGGCCACAUGACAGCGGUGAGCAGGGCCAGCGGCACAAGUGAGUAGAGCAACAAAUGUAAAUGUUACAUUUGCGCAGGAGGCUAGUUUAUUUGCAUGGACACUCACACAUACCCCUCCAAGCAAGAGGCAUUAUCAGAGUUCAAGGACACAUUUCAGUUAGGCAAGAAAACACUGAAGGAAGGUGAAUGUGGAGUGUGGCCUGAGAAGAGGGUUUGAAGCCAUAGAGAGAGACCUGUAGGGCUGCCUCAGUACUGGUGCAGACCUCCCAUAUAUGUCCUUGACUCCAUGCUUUCUUCUAGGUUUGUCUAUUAUUAGUAUUAUUAUUACUGCUAUUAUUUUACAUCUCCCAGAAAUGAUCUGGUACACACAAUAAAUGAUGUUGUUGUUGUUGUUGUUGUUAGAACUCAAUGAGCCCUUCCCCAAAUCUAGCUCUGUAGCCUGGAAGACUCUAUCAGAAAAUAUUAAUCUUGUGGUUACCACCCUUUUUUCUUCAAAUGUUUAGAGCAGUGUGAUUCCCAGCAAUGGUUACUUUCCUCUUUCAACAAGCCUUUUAAGGGGAGACCUAUCCCGGUCUGCAUCUGUGUCAGAAUUGUUUAAUAUGUUUUUUUAAUAAUGUUUCUAACCCUUUUUUUAAGGUUGCUUUUUUCAAAAAUGUUUUUAAUGCUGUUUUGUUUUAAUGUAUUUUAAGAUCUGCUUUUAUGAUGUUUUAAAGUGUUUUAGUGCUUUGUUUGCCGCCCUGGGCUCCUGCUGGGAGGAAGGGUGGGAUACAAAUUAAAUAAAUAAAUAAUAGUCAUGAUGGCUAUGCUCUGCCUCCAUAGGCAGAGACAGUAUGCUUCCAAACAGCAGUUGCUGGGAACUGCAGGUGGGGACAAUGCUUUUUGCAAUCAGGUCCUGCUUGUGGGCUUCCUGUUGGGGCACCUGGUUGGCCACUGUGAGAACAGGAUGCUGGACUAGAUGGGCCAUUGGCCUGAUCCAACAGGCUGUUCUUAUGUUCUUAAGAAUCAUUUAACAGAUUACAUCAUUGCACUUUCACAUAUACUCCUAUCCUUCCGCUUUCCCUCUCCCAAGAGAAUCUGGUAUCUCUUCAAUCAGAAACUAUCAGAGAAUGGAUAUUUGGGCCAGUACUGAUGUCAACAGCAAGAUGAUUAUGAGACUUUAUAUCACGUUAUGUAAUGAGAAUGCUUAUUAUCCUCAUAUUUAUCUAUGAGUAGAGCUUAAACAAGAUGGUUCU